rnacentral:lncRNA from 10 species
CACAAAACUAGCUUGCCAGAGAGAGAGAAGCCUCACUCAGACAGGGGAUCAAAGGCCCCUCUAGAGCCUCCUAGAUAUUGGAGAGAGCCAUGAGUGAUGGGCAUGCCUCCAGCCUGUGAGACCGGGGGAGCAUACCCCAGGCAGAGGGCACUUAGGAAAAAUAGCACGGGGUGCUAGCGCUGCCAGGGACCUCAGUACACAUGGAAGAAGGCAAGGUCCAGAGAUCCGAGUGACUUGCCCAGGGACACAAGGCAAAUCGGUGGAAUCGUCGAGGGGUGGAGGAUCAGCCACAGCCCCCCGCCUCCCACGCCACCUCUUGGAAACCAGAUACCCGCCUCGCGGCCAAGACCCACCAGCUCCAAGCGGCGGAGGCCAG